AUUUAAGUAGUUUAAUAUAAAAUAUUGAUUUGUGGUGUCAAUGAUGUAUAGUAAAAUACCUUAGAUA
rnacentral:tRNA from 1 species